CCUAAAAAUAGCCCAUGAUGUCACCCCAAGGCCUUCCCAUUGGCUUGCGUCGCUCUCAGGGGGGCGGGCCCGCCCGUCGCUAUGGAGACCCCACCCUAGAAGNNNNNNNNNNNNNNNNNNNNNNNNNNNNNNNNNNNNNNNNNNNNNNNNNNGUGGGCUGACGUCUUGGGGUUUGACUGUCCUGUGACGGUGGCCGCGGCGACCUGGAGGACUGGAGCUGACGCUCGCAACUUCAGACAGAGGCGGGCUCAAAUUCAGGGCUUACGACCGGGAUGCAAGGGAUACGGAGACCCGGAAGGCUGGGGAACCGGGCCAGUUGUCUGGGCCGAGAACGUGGGGGCGGUAGUAUUUCUCCCCUUUGUGGGGAUCGAAGUCACCCACGGGCAUUUCUCCACAGCGCGGGACCCGGAGGCUGAGAGCUCGGAUUUGUACCCCCCCCCCCCCCCCCCCCCCGCGCGCUUCCGGGGAGCCGGAACGCCGCCCUUAAGUAGUUCUCUUAAGCCUCCUGUGGGGGCGAGUGAAAGUGCGCUUACGGUUAGGGGCGGUGUCGGGGAGUGGACCCCCCACAGUGAGAACGCUUCGAGUUUAUUUCUUGGUCAAGUUCGGGAGCAACCGUUGGAGCCGCUAUCUGGCUGUGCCUAGAGCCGAGUGAUUUGCAUUGCUCGAAACCCGGCACUCCGCUAAGUCCCCGCUGCGCCCCAUUUCAUUCUCCCGCACCAUGAGGGAGAGGGUGCGGGGGGGGGUUGCAGUUUUGCCUUGGUGGGAAGGUUUUUAUGUGAGGUAGUAGGAGCGAACUCAGCGUCCAAUUGGGAAUGAGCGUUUAUUUAGAGACUCCGAAACUCGGGAACCCCGGGAUCGCCUCCUCCACCCCACCCCCCACCCCAUACACCACUCCCGCCCUGAUUUGCUUCCGGGAAGACAAGUCCCGAGAACAGCAGACACGCCAAAAGUCACGCAGCGAAUUAGGGGUAGAAUCAGGAUUUAAAAUCUCUGCUGCUCGCCGGGUGAUGGGCCCAUGUCCUGUGCAGCCUCUAGGAAGCGCUAGACACAUGGAAAAAGAAAUGGGCUACUCCAGCUCUAGGUGCCAGCACUGUUUGUGUUUCCUUGGACACUCCACCCGCUUGCCAGUUGAACACUGGCCUGGUUUGGGCUUUUCUGAGAUGACAGUGAUGAUGACGAUGACGAUGACAACGAUGAGUUAAUAAAGGUUCUGAAGAAGAUCCAGACCUCGUGCUCUGCUGUUCUCUGAGGGUAGCGCUUCGUGGAACCUUGUUUGGCGCCUAGCCCUGAGGAUAUUUCUCAGGGAAAGCCCUUGGAUCCAUCAGUCUGUUUUUUCUUUUCUUUGGAAACUAUGGUGCUCCCUGUGAAAACAAAGCGAUUUGGAUUCUGUUCAGGAAAAAUGUAACCUACAAACAAAUAGCCUUGGAAAAUCUGUGCCUCACCCUCCGCGCCUGGGUCAGGCACAGGGAGAGCCCCACCCUUCUGUUGCUUUCUUGCUGGCAGCCGCCUCCUAGUUCCUUUUCUGUGUGCUGUCUCUGGCUGCUCAAGGAGCAGUGCCUCCCAUUCUUGCCUCUCCUUUCUCUGCUGCUCAGACCUCAAGUCUUUGCAAGUGCCCUUUCUCUCCCUGGAAUGUUAUUCCUCUCCCUGUCUGCAAGCCUUUAAUCAUUCUUUAAGACUCACUCCAAUAUGCCUUCCACUGUUCUGAUUCCCUCAGAUGCUUUGUUAUUCUUCCAUUCAUUAUGUUACUCAGGAGAAUUUAAAUAUUCUUCUUUUUUCAGAUAACAUAUCCCUGAUUUUAUUUUUUAAUAUAAUAAUAAUAAUGGCUGCCGAGUCUUCAGCUCUUGCUAUGUGCUAGGCACUAUAUAGCUUGAGUUACGCAUCUCAAAGUGCUCAAGAGAGAAACUAGCACAUAACAAAGUGCUCAAUACAUGCUACUUAUUAUUUAACUUAAUUUUCCCAUUGUACCUACAGUAAAUAUGAUUUGUCAUGUCUGUGAUAAUUACCAGGUUACUUGUCUGUGAGCUCCUUCCUCUGAUAUCUCCCAGCACACAAAUAUUAAAUGGAUAGUCAGUGAGUGAACAUCUAACCAUUUGAAACUGAUGACUGAGUACAGGGGUUUAUUUCAAGAGCUCCCAAAUCAAUUAAGAGUAGCAGUAGUCUAAAGAAUAUAGGACUGAGAAUCAGAAGAUGUGGGCUUGAAUUACAUUCCAACUACAAUUAGCUUUGUGACCUUGGGCAAAUUAGUCAAACUUUUCUGAACCCCAAACACCUAUUUUCUAAAAUGAGUCUAAUAGUCCCAAACUUGCCUUUCUCACAGAUUUGCCUUGAACAUUAAAUGAGAUCACACAUGGAAAAGUUUUGUGAAUUGUACACGUGUGAGAAAUUAUUGUUAAAAUCUUCUUGGCCCCCGUUGCCAUCACCACCAUAUCUGGCAGAACAUGGGCCUAUGGGUAGUUUUAGUUGAAUAAAUAUCAGUGUGCCACUUUUAUUUCUUCAGUGUCAAAAAAUACAGUUUUUUGAGGUUUGGAAUACCAGGAUUCUUUCUCAAAAUUCAUCCAAGGUAUUAACCACAAACUUUUUAAGAGGUUUUAAAAGUUCUUUGAUUUUACUACUUGUUUGCUUUUUUUUUCCCCCAAAGAAAAUUUAUUUUUAUUGUGUUUUUCUUGGAGGGAGAGUGGUGAGGAAAGGCAAAUCUCUUCAUUCUGCAUGAUUAAAGGUGGUUUCAUGCAUUUUAAAGCCACAAUUUUAUAUCUAGACUUUCUGUAGAAACCAACAUCUUUGGAAAGGGAAGGAAAAAAAAGGAGAAGGAAGAGAGUUCAGUAGGAUUUUUUUUUCCAUUUUCAUUUUUAUAUAAAAGUGUUGAGACCACAGUGAAAAAAAAUUAUUUAUCCAUAUAUGUAAUAAACCACUUUGUGAGCUACAUAUUUUUCUUUUUUUUUUUUAAGAUUUAUUUUAUUUAUUACUCUCCCCUUCCCCUGCCUUGUCUGCUCUCUCUGUCCAUUCGCUGUGUGUUCUUCUGUGUCCACUUGCAUUCUUGUCAUGUGGCACCGGGAAACUGUGUUGCUUUUCUUGUUAUGUCAUCUUGCUGCGUCCGCUCUCUGUGUAUGUGUUGCCACUCCUGGGUGGGCUAUGCUUUUCUCAUGCAGGGCAGCUCUCCUUGCGGGGUGCACUCCUUGUGCAGGGGCACCCCUACAUGGGGGAUACUCCUGCAUGGCAUAGAACUCCUUGCGCGGCAGCACCGCGUGUGGGCCAGCUCACCAUACAGGGCAGGAGGCCCAGAUUAUUGAACCCAGGACCGUCCAUAUGGUAGGCGGAUGCUCUAACAGUUGAGCCACAACAACUUCCCCAUAUUUUUGUCUUUUUCAUCUUCAGAAAUAUUCUCACCUUGACAAUGGUUAGAUAGCAUCAUGCUCAAAGACAUUCGCAGUACAGUCAAACAAAGAAAGAAACAAGCAAACACAAGUAUGUGAUAUUAAUAUAAUUGAGGUAAGAGAGGAAACUCAAACAUUUUAACAUUCACUCAAGAAGAAAUUUUUCUUUUUCUUUAUUUUGUCAGAAAAAUGCCAAGCACAGUGAAUUAUUAUUUAUUUUAAGUCACAAAAAUCUGUUUUUACCAGAAGUGGAUGACUGAUGAGCCAGCUCCUCAGACUCAGGCAUAAUCUCUAUUGGUUUUCCUAAGAAUCCACCAAUUCCCAGGGAAAUAUAAGUCUACUGGCUUGCUUUUUAAUUUCUGACCCUAAAUUUCACUGUCACAUACUUUCUCUCAGGAAGGGUCCUGUGAGAAUUGUAAUCAAUAGUAGUCUUCAUUGUUCAUUUUAAUUCAAGAAGAUAAAUGCUAGGGAUAAGGAGGAAUGAAAGAAGUAUAACACAUAGUCUUAGUCUCAAGGAGGUUACAGUCUAGUUUGGGAGCCAGAGCUAAAUCCUAGAUUUGUGGGCAAAAUAUGUGAUCUGAGAAAGGAGAGACCUUUCUGUGUUGAAGUGGUCUGUGAAGGUUUCAGGGAGAAAUUGGGCCUUACGUUAAGUCAUAGAAGAAGAUUGACAUUUAAAUUGUAAGCAUGAGAACAUAAUUCAAAAAUCCAGACAGAGGUCAGGACCAUUGAGAAAUGUUAGUAACAUUUCUCCCUCUGUAGGAUGUUGAUUUCAUUAGUUCUUGUUGGAGAUGCAAGAUGGUAUGAAAACACACUACUAAUGAACCCACUGACAAAUGUCUCAGGCCAAAAAAAAACUGCUAAUAUUCUGUGGCUCUUACUUUCACUAUAAGAAAAUAAAAACUCUUUACUUUUUCUUUUCCAUCCAUAGUUUACUUCUUUUAAAAGAUGUCAGAGAGAAAGACGUUUACAGAAAACUAUAAUGUUUUAGCUUCUGGAUCUGUAAAACCAAUGCACA
rnacentral:lncRNA from 1 species